GACGAACGCUGGCGGCGUGCUUAACACAUGCAAGUCGAACGGAAAGGCCCUGCUUUUGUGGGGUGCUCGAGUGGCGAACGGGUGAGUAACACGUGAGUAACCUGCCCUUGACUUUGGGAUAACUUCAGGAAACUGGGGCUAAUACCGGAUAGGAGCUCCUGCUGCAUGGUGGGGGUUGGAAAGUUUCGGCGGUUGGGGAUGGACUCGCGGCUUAUCAGCUUGUUGGUGGGGUAGUGGCUUACCAAGGCUUUGACGGGUAGCCGGCCUGAGAGGGUGACCGGCCACAUUGGGACUGAGAUACGGCCCAGAAUCCUACGGGAGGCAGCAGUGGGGAAUAUUGCACAAUGGGCGGAAGCCUGAUGCAGAAACGCCGCGUGCGGAAUGACGGCCUUCGGGUUGUAAACCGCUUUCGCCUGUGACGAAGCGUGAGUGACGGUAAUGGGUAAAGAAGCACCGGCUAACUACGUG
rnacentral:rRNA from 1 species